AUUGAACGCUGGCGGCAGGCUUAACACAUGCAAGUCGAGCGGGGGAAGGUAGCUUGCUACCGGACCUAGCGGCGGACGGGUGAGUAAUGCUUAGGAAUCUGCCUAUUAGUGGGGGACAACAUCUCGAAAGGGAUGCUAAUACCGCAUACGUCCUACGGGAGAAAGCAGGGGAUCACUUGUGACCUUGCGCUAAUAGAUGAGCCUAAGUCGGAUUAGCUAGUUGGGGGGGUAAAGGCCUACCAAGGCGACGAUCUGUAGCGGGUCUGAGAGGAUGCUCCGCCACACUGGGACUGAGACACGGCCCAGACUCCUACGGGAGGCAGCAGUGGGGAAUAUUGGACAAUGGGGGGAACCCUGAUCCAGCCAUGCCGCGUGUGUGAAGAAGGCCUUAUGGUUGUAAAGCACUUUAAGCGAGGAGGAGGCUCUUUUGGAAUACCCAAGAUGAGUGGACGUUACUCGCAGAAUAAGCACCGGCUAACUCUGUGCCAGCCGCCGCAGUAA
rnacentral:rRNA from 1 species